rnacentral:tRNA from 2 species
UUCGUCAGGUUGGUUCAAGACGUCUGCUUUCCAAGCAGAAGACGCCGGUUCGAAUCCGACACGAUGCUCCA